GUAUAAAGCAUUCAUUAAUUGUUGACAAUCAGACAUUUUAAUUGAAGGAUUUAAAACUGCACCAAUUAAGUAAACAGGAGGAAUUGGAAAGAAAUAUUGUCACUAUCCAAUGACAUGUAAUUGUUAAAUAAUCAUUUCCAUUUACAGCAUGGCCAAUAUCAGAGGGGAGGGUAUUUAUAGAUUUUUAGAAGGGUUAUUAAUGUAAUUUAAUAAAAACAAAAAAA
rnacentral:lncRNA from 1 species